CAACCAGUUACAGAUUUCUUUGA
rnacentral:piRNA from 1 species